UACGGAGGGUGCAAGCGUUUGUCCGGAAUCACUGGGCGUAAAGGGCGCGUAGGCGGCUCAUGAAGGCUGUGGUGAAAGUCCGGGGCUCAACCUCGGAUCGGCCGUGGCGACUCGUGGGCUGGAGCACUGUAGAGGCGGGUGGAAUUCCCGGAGUAGUGGUGAAAUGCGUAGAUAUCGGGAGGACACCGGUGGCGAAGGCGGCCAGCUGGCUCUGACCUGACGCUGAGCGCGAGGCGUGGGAGCGAACGG
rnacentral:rRNA from 1 species